AGUCGAGAAUCUUCGGCAAUGGGCGCAAGCCUGACCGAGCGACGCCGCGUGUGGGAUGAAGGCCCUUGGGUUGUAAACCACUGUCAGAGGGGAUGAAAUGCGGGUGGGUUCUCCCAUCCGUUUGACAUAGCCUCAGAGGAAGCACGGGCUAAGUUCGUGCCAGCAGCCGCGGUAAUACGAACUGUGCAAACGUUAUUCGGAAUCACUGGGCUUAAAGGGUGCGUAGGCGGCCAGAUAAGUAGGGUGUGAAAGCCCCCGGCUCAACCGGGGAAUGGCGCUCUAAACUGUCUGGCUGGAGUGAGAUAGGGGUGUGCGGAACUUCCGGUGGAGCGGUGAAAUGUGUUGAUAUCGGAAGGAACGCCGGUGGCGAAAGCGGCACACUGGAUCUCAACUGACGCUGAGGCACGAAAGCCAGGGGAGCAAA
rnacentral:rRNA from 1 species